GGCUGGGAGUGCUUCGCUCAGCCAAUCCGGGCGCGCCCGGGCGUUGCGGCCCCGCCUCCUCUCCGGCGCUCGGGACUGGUAGCGCUCCGCGGGAAGGAGGCUGGAACCCCGGCAGCAGUGGCACGGGGAUGGAGGCGGCAGUGGUGCCGGGGAGGGAUGCGCGGGCACCCGCGGCGAGUCAGCCCAGCGGGUGCGGGAAACACAACUCGCCGGAGAGGAAAGUUUAUAUGGACUAUAAUGCAACCACUCCCCUGGAGCCAGAAGUUAUCCAGGCCAUGACCGAGGCCAUGUGGGAAGCCUGGGGAAAUCCCAGCAGCCCGUAUUCAGCAGGAAGAAAGGCCAAGGAUAUUAUAAAUGCAGCUCGGGAAAGCCUCGCGAAGAUGAUAGGGGGGAAACCUCAAGAUAUAAUCUUCACUUCCGGGGGUACUGAGUCAAAUAAUUUAGUAAUCCAUUCUGUGGUGAAACAUUUCCACGCAAGCCAGCCCUCAGAGGCACACACAGGUGCGCACCACAGCCCAGUGAAGGGGGCCAAGCCCCAUUUCAUUACUUCCUCGGUGGAACACGACUCCAUCCGGCUGCCCCUGGAGCACCUGGUGGAAGAACAAGUGGCAGCCUACUCAGUGUGAAGAUGAUGAAGAUGAAGACCUUUAUGAUGAUCUGCUUCCACUUAAUUAAUACGGUCACCUUUGUCCCAGUGUCCAAGGUGAGCGGGCAGGCAGAGGUGGACGACAUCCUCGCGGCAGUCCGCCCAACCACAUGCCUCGUGACCAUCAUGCUGGCCAACAAUGAGACUGGCGUUGUCAUGCCUGUCCCUGAAAUCAGCCAGCGCAUUAAAGCCCUGAACCAGGAACGGGUGGCAGCUGGGCUGCCUCCCAUCCUCGUGCACACGGAUGCUGCACAGGCCUUGGGGAAGCAGCGCGUGGAUGUGGAGGACCUGGGCGUGGACUUCCUUACAAUCGUGGGGCACAAGUUUUAUGGUCCCAGGAUUGGCGCACUUUAUGUACGAGGACUUGGUGAAUUUACCCCUCUCUACCCUAUGCUAUUUGGAGGUGGACAAGAAUGGAAUUUCAGGCCAGGGACAGAGAACACCCCAAUGAUUGCCGGCCUUGGGAAGGUGAGCCCUGGUGAGCUUGAGGAGACGAGUUGAUUGCUUUGUCAUCAGUGUCCCCAGCCGCUGUAGUAGGAAUCUGGGGCUUUAGGGAGAUCAUAUUCGUGAUCUCAUAAGCGGACUGAUGAGAAAAAGCCUAGAAUCUGAUUUAUCAACCUGGAGAGCUGUACUUUUUCAGAUCUGUGGAUUAGUGGCACUUGUUUAGCAUUUAAAAGGGAAAAACUCCUUGUCUCUGUCUCUUCUGACAUGAGAAACAGUGAUACUGUUACAGCAGAGGUGAAGCGUCAGGCCGCAGGUUCACCACUCCCAAAGGCGUCGGCAGCCCCCACACCAUCGACGUUCUGUCCCCGACUGGUCUGUGGGGUGGCCAAUCCAGCACCUGCCACCAGCCCUCCACUGGGGCCUGUCCUGCUUCUGCGACAGUAACCAGGCUCAGGUUUUGCUGUGCGAAGGCAGAGGUACUGGUCACACCUCAGCGUGUGCAGGCUGCUCCCUUACUCUGCAGGCUCUGCUCAGAGGCCACCACCUUCAAGCAACCCUCCAUGAGCCACACCUACAUUGGUCCUCCCAUGUCCCCUGCUGUCACUCUCUAUCCCUAACACUGCUUUAUUUCCCCUAUCUGAUGUUUCUCUGUAGUGUGUUCAGAUGUAUGCACCACCUCCUGCUUCCCCGAGAGCAGGGGCUUGGCCAUGUCGGCCUCAGCAUCCCCAGUACAGAGAAAGGGCUUGGCGCCCAGGAGGCCGGGCCUUGGGAAGAGUAUGAAUGGAUUCCCUGUUACUUAGAAUAUUCAAAAUUAUUAAUAGUGAUAACUAAGGCUACAUUUACUAGAAGGAAGAGUGUGUAUUUGUUUGUUUGUUUGAGAUGGAGUCUUACUGUGUCACCCAGGCUGGAGUGCAGUGGCACAACCUUGGCUCACUGCAACCUCCACCUCCCGGGUUCAAGAGAUUCUCCCACUUCAGUCUCCAAGUAGCUGGAACUACAGGCAUGCACCACCAUGCCUGGCUAAUUUAUGUGUUUUUAGUAGAGACGGGGUUUCACCAUGUUGGCCAGCUGGUCUCGAACAACUAACCUCCGGUGAUCCACCUGCCUUGACCUCCCAAAGUGCUGGAAUUAUAGGCGUGAGCCACUGCGCCCGGCCGGAAGAGUGUGUUUUAAGUGGAGUCCAGUACCUGCUUGUGUUGACCUGAAUGAUGAAGUAGUGGUGCAGUCCACAGGCUUUGAAAUACCCAGGGUUCAAAUCCUGGCUCGAAGCUUCACUCACCAUGUGCCUUGGGUCAGGUCGCUGGAACUCCCUGAGUCCUGGCUAUCCCCCCUGCCAGAUAGGAAUCAUGGUAACAGCUUCCUAGAUAGAGCCUCAGCUCGCAGUGCUUGAAGACCCCCAGCCCCAGCACCACACCCCCACUGGUUCUUCAGCUUCGCCCAGCCCAGACCCCAAUGCUACCAGUGCUCUAGACAGCCCCCCUCCGCCGCCCAGCCUGGACUCCAUCCUGCACAUGCCCUCCCCAGUGUGCUUUCCCACACCCAUUCCUUUCUGCCUUGGUUGCAUGCUGGCAGCCCUUCCCUGCACCCCUUGUGGAUCUGUCUGUCCGUCCCGUCACUGUGAUGCUAGCCUGUGCUCCUGCCUUUGAACUUGACAUCUCUGCUAGGCCCUGGCCCAUCUCCUGAGAGACCCAUUCCUCUGAGUUCAAAACCUGUCCCGACCGCUGUCCUCUACCCUCUGCCCACCCUGGGCAUCUUCCACUAUCCAGGUUCUCUCUUCUGAAGUCCAGGAGAUGCCCUCAGUCCUUCCUUGUCAUCGUCCCUGCCUCUCAAGCAGCACCUGUCCUGUCCUGUCUGGACUCCAGAAUACACCCACUGCCAGCCUCAUGUCCAUUUUCAUGGCCACCAACCCUAGACCAAGGGUCUGGAUGCCUGCCAUGGCCUCCUGGGGGCCUGCUGCUGCCAUUUGCCACACGGCCACAGAGUGACCAACACACAGGCCAGUCAGACCAUCACAUCCCUCCCUCAGAGCCUCACUGCGUCUGCCCCAUGGCCAGGCCUGCAGGGCCUGUCGAUCUGUCCCUGCGCCUUUACCCCCUCCGCACUCUCCACCCGCCACACCAGGCCCCUCUGUUCUAGAGUCAGAAUGGCUGUCUGUUCCCUUCAAAGCCCUUGCUGGGAUGCCAUUCCCUGCCCUUGUGCAGCCAUCUCUGUCACCACCCCACUUUGGGCCUGUGAGGUCCCUUCACAGCGCCCACUAGUGGGUAGGAGUCUGUUCCCCUCUUCCCCUGCUUUUGUCCGUCUGCCUCUCUGGGAUGCUGACUCCUCGAGGGUUGGGAUCCCUUUCAGGGCUGCUUUGCUGGGGCAUCUCCAGUGCCUGGCGCUGUCAGGAGGUGCCUGGUGAAGUCAAUUUCUGGGGCACUUGCACACCCUCCAAAUGGCAGCACUCAAAAAAUAUGUCCUGUCUGUGACUGUCAGGAGAAUGAGCAGUUUCAGGAAAUGCCACCUGUACCAUUGAAAGCUUUUUUGCCCUCCUUUGUUUUGCAAGAAUUGUGCAUCCACUCGUUGUGUGUCUGCCCCCAGGCCGCGGAGCUGGUGACCCAGAACUGCGAGGCUUAUGAGGCCCACAUGAGGGACGUCCGCGACUACCUGGAGGAGAGGCUGGAAGUGAGCGCAGCAUGGGGUGGGCAUCAGGAGGGGGAGGGUGUGUGGGGCAGGUGCCCAGAGAGAGGGGGCGUGGUGCUCCUGGACCCCAGGACCUGUGGGGAUUGCAGCGUAGCCUGGAACUCAGCAGGACACAGUGAGGGAAGAAAGAACAGUGGCGGGAAGUACAUGGGGAUCUGAAACCCCGAAAGCAGGACCCUAGGCCAGGGGCAUGAUCUUUUUCAGAGACACAGGAUCAAAUAUGCAGAGGUAGUAUACUUCAUGGUUUAUGUGGAAGGUUCAUAUGUUUCCGAAUAUUUGGUUUUUCUCCUAAUUAACUUUGCUUUCCAUAGUCUGUACCCAUAACUAUUCUCGGUAGAUGCUGAUUGAAAAGUAUGCACCUGCUGAGGUUGUGUUUCUGGAAAAGUCUAAAUUUCAAACAGUUGCUGGUGGUGGUGGCUUUGAAGCUGUCACCAAAUAUUUCACUUAUUUUUUUCAGGCUGAAUUCGGUCAGAAGAGAAUCCAUCUGAAUAGCCAGUUUCCAGGCACCCAGCGGCUUCCCAACACCUGCAACUUCUCCAUCCGGGGACCCCGGCUUCAAGGCCAUGUGGUGCUUGCGCAGUGCCGAGUGCUGAUGGCCAGUGUGGGGGCCGCGUGCCACUCGGACCACGGGGACCAGCCGUCCCCAGUGCUUCUGAGCUACGGCGUCCCCUUCGACGUGGCCAGGAACGCGCUCCGGCUCAGCGUGGGCCGCAGCACCACCAGGGCCGAGGUGGACCUCGUCGUGCAGGACCUGAAGCAGGCCGUGGCGCAGCUGGAGGACCAAGCCUAGCGCCAGGGCCGCCCUCCCCGCGCCGCUUCUAGGAAGCCCGUAGCAGGGCACCGAGUUGUCCCUCCAGUUCCCUCCUGAGGGCUGUGCCAGGAUGACUGUCUCAUGCCCCCUCUGCAUUUUGUCCUGGAGUGCCUGCGAGUGUGCACCCCCAGUUUCCUUCCCUGGACCCCUGCAGAGCUCACAGGGCCCAGGACACCAACGCCGCAUAGGACCGCCCGCAUAGGACCGCCCACAUAGAACCGUCCUCCAGUGGUGAAGCGGAAACACUUCAGCUUCAUCCACCCUCCCCACUGGGAACUGGGCAAGCCUGUUGUGAGUGCCCUUUCCUGGAAGGUGUUUUUAUCUGGAAGAUAGAAUCCAAGUAUUUAUAACUCAUUGUCAGCCAAAUGCUAUCAUGAACAUAGGAAACUCGAUUUUUUUGUUUUGAUCAUGGCCUCGCACAUGCACCUUUCCAGAGUGGUUUCUUCUCAGGCCCUUUUUAGUCCCUUUCCAAAGCUGCCCUCACCACCCUGCUCCUCUGGCCUCAGUGCACAGUGGCCCCCAGCCUCGGCCAGGCCUGCUCUGCUCAGCGCCCACUGCCCACCACCCCUCCUGCUUCCCCAAGCCUGACCCUGUUCCACCCACUGGUAAUCAGGGCUGCGCGCUUCCCCAUCCACAGUCCCCAGGCCUUCCUGUCUUGUCCCUUUUGAUCAUUAACUCAGGGUUUCAGCUCCAACCUCGCUGAGCUGGUGGAGCUCUGGGUCAUUCCUGGGGUGGGAAUCGGAUCAUCCCUGACUCAGCUUUUACCUUAAUUUUAUUUGCAGAGGAUUCUUUUCUCAAAAUGCUCUGGCAUUUGGACACACAUCACAUGUCGAUAUUUGCAUAGGAGUCAUUUUCAGUGGAAUAACAUUUUUAAUGUGUGGUUUUACGGUUCAAGGAACUACAUGAUGAUUUUGAGGAAACACUUGCCAGAAACUAAAUUAACGAAUAAAAGAUUUCAGUGCCCG
rnacentral:sRNA from 1 species